CAGGAACAAGUCUGUGGAUCUUGAGAAGUGAAGUACACAGGAGAUAACAAGCAGCACUCCCUCCCAGAGCCUGGACUCAGGGCAUGGGAACUGUGGGCCAAACCUGCAGACAGACGGUGACUAUUGAUGACCCCAGAGGCCUCCAAGGAGAAAUGCACCAGUGGAACAGAGCAGUGGACACACUGGACUGCAGCACUGGUCUCAGCCCUUUUGCCAAAUGGGCUCAUAAAGUGCCUGCAGAAGACUGGUGCAACCACUAUGGAAAUCAAUAUGGAGAUACCUCAAAAAACUAGGAUUGGGG
ensembl:lncRNA